rnacentral:rRNA from 1 species
GAAUAUUGCACAAUGGGGGCAACCCUGAUGCAGCAACGCCGCGUGGAGGACGAAGGCCCUUGGGUUGUAAACUCCUUUUCUGCGGGAAGAGGAAGGACGGUACCGCAGGAAUAAGUCACGGCUAAAUACGUUCCAGCAGCCGCGGUAAUACGUAGGUGGCAAGCGUUAUCCGGAAUUACUGGGCGUAAAGCGCACGCAGGCGGCUAGGUAAGUCUGACGUGAAAGCUCCUGGCUUAACUGGGAGAGGUCGUUGGAAACUGUCUAGCUUGAGGCAAUGAGAGGGGUGCGGAAUUCCCGGUGUAGUGGUGGAAUGCGUAGAUAUCGGGGGGAACACAAGUGGCGAAAGCGGCACCCUGGCAUUGACCUGACGCUCAGGUGCGAAAGCGUGGGGAGCGAACGGG